rnacentral:rRNA from 1 species
GAUGAACGCUGGCGGCGUGCCUAAUACAUGCAAGUCGAGCGAACAGACGAGGAGCUUGCUCCUCUGACGUUAGCGGCGGACGGGUGAGUAACACGUGGAUAACCUACCUAUAAGACUGGGAUAACUUCGGGAAACCGGAGCUAAUACCGGAUAAUAUAUUGAACCGCAUGGUUCAAUAGUGAAAGACGGUUUUGCUGUCACUUAUAGAUGGAUCCGCGCCGCAUUAGCUAGUUGGUAAGGUAACGGCUUACCAAGGCAACGAUGCGUAGCCGACCUGAGAGGGUGAUCGGCCACACCGGAACUGAGACACGGUCCAGACUCCUACGGGAGGCAGCAGUAGGGAAUCUUCCGCAAUGGGCGAAAGCCUGACGGAGCAACGCCGCGUGAGUGAUGAAGGUCUUCGGAUCGUAAAACUCUGUUAUUAGGGAAGAACAAAUGUGUAAGUAGCUAUGCACGUCUUGACGGUACCUAAUCAGAAAGCCACGGCUAACUACGUG